rnacentral:rRNA from 1 species
AACGAACGCUGGCGGCAGGCCUAACACAUGCAAGUCGAACGCACCGCAAGGUGAGUGGCGCACGGGUGAGUAACACGUGGGAAUGUACCCUUUGGUUCGGAAUAACGUUUGGAAACGAACGCUAAUACCGGAUGAGCCCUGUGGGGGAAAGAUUUAUCGCCAAAGGAGCAGCCCGCGUCUGAUUAGCUAGUUGGUGGGGUAAAGGCCUACCAAGGCGACGAUCAGUAGCUGGUCUGAGAGGAUGAUCAGCCACACUGGGACUGAGACACGGCCCAGACUCCUACGGGAGGCAGCAGUGGGGAAUAUUGGACAAUGGGCGGAAGGCCUGAUCCAGCCAUGCCGCGUGAGUGAUGAAGGCCUCGGUUGUAAGACUCUUUCGUCACGCGACGAUGAUGACGGUAGCGUGAGAGAAGCCCGGCUAACUCGUGCCAGCAGCCGCGGUAA